rnacentral:sRNA from 1 species
AUAAAAAUAUAUAUAAAUUUAAAAAUUUGGCGAUUGCAUAUUUCGAAAUGCGUUAUUAAUUAUAUAAUAAUUGGGUUUUAUUUUAACAAUUUCAAAUGCCCAUAUCCAAAUUAUUUUGCUCCAAUGGAUUUAAAGGAAAGCUUUUGGUAUUAUUUCCAAAAUAUCCACAACGUCGAAAAUGUAUUACCAAAAAAACGUAUUUUAAAUUCCGAAAAAAAUAAUUACAACCGAUUUGGAUCGAUCCGUUUUGCCAAAAAACAAAAAACAAUAUUAAAUUCCAAUCCGACAAUUAUUGCGACGUUAAUAUCCGAACAAAUAAUUGCUAUUAUAUUUAUUAAUUUGAACAUUUGUAAUCCUAAACGUUUUAAUUUUAAUAUAAUUUAAUAGGGCGCCAUUUGCGUUUAUUACGUCGCCUAUUUUUAGCACCGGUAAAUUAAUUUCGUCCAACCAGGACAAAUAAUAUUCGAUUUUAUCGACGGAUCCCAAUUUCCUAAAAGAUUUUUGCAUUACCAAAAAUCCUAAUAAUCUAUUGCGACACGUUUUGCUCCUGGAUUUAGGUUUUCCCGGGGCAUUAUAACCUAAUUUAUUUUAUAUUCCAAAUUUUAAAAGGAAAUUUACAAAAUUAAUAAAUCCUGCGUUUAUUAAAUUACCCGUCGCAAUAUUAAAAUGUAAUUCUUUAGGGGACGUUAACCCCCCGAAUAAAAAUAAUGCCAAUUUAAUAAAAUUUACGUUACAAAAUAUAUUGGUUAAUACCAAAUAUUUUCCGAAUUUAUUAAAAAAUAAACCAAUUGCGUUUAAUGCAAAAAAUAAUAUAUGGAAGGCCGAAAAAUUUUUCGCGAAAUGGGGUUUAAAAAAAAAACUUUACUAUUUUGUUAAAUGGAAAAAAUUCCCAAAUAAAAACAAUAUGUGGGAACCACGAGGUAAUAUUAGCGAAAAUUUUAUUAAAAACUUCGAAUCGAAUUUUGAGGGAAAUUAUACAGGAAUGCGAUUAUUUAAUAAAAAAAAAUAGGCUGAAAACAUUAAAUAUUUGGUAAAAUGGAAGGGUCGACCAAAAGGCGAAAAAUUAUGGAAAAAGGCCAAAACGUUAAAUAGCGCACGGAUUCGGGAAUACGAAACAAAAAUAUAAGAUUUAUAAACAAUUAACAAACGUUAAAAUAAAUUAAAUAACCAAUUACGGUUUUUUGGCAAAUUAAUUUUGGAAUUUUAUACGCACCAAAUUGCGUAAAAAUGGUGCCAAUAAACCGAAAAAACAAAUAACCAAAGCUAAUAUACGGCGGUAUAUAUUUACGGUACCGCGAUAAAAUAUAAAAAUAUAUAUAUUAAUACGUAUUUUAAAUUGGAUGCAAAACGCAUCGGAAACAAAACUGGUUAAAAAACAAAAAGUUUUUUACUAAAUUACGUAUAAAUAUAUAAAUAUUACGGCCAGGGUAAAUAUAGUACAGAAACUAGUUUAUU